rnacentral:lncRNA from 1 species
GCGGGGCCCAGGUACUCCACGUAGGUGCCGGGGAAGUCGCCGCGCUCCUUGGUGCGCUCGUUGAAGCCGUUGAGCCAGCCCUUGGGGCUCCGCUCGUCGCCGUCCUUGUAGUCGGGGGCGCUCAGCAGCCCGGCCUUGCUGACCGUCAGCACGUCCCCGGGGCACAGCGCCAGGUCUUCCUCCCGGUCCUUCCGGUACUCGUAGAGGGCCCGGUACUGCAGCCCGUCCGAGGAGGCCAUGGCGACGGCGCGGCGYGGGUCACGCUGCCCGGAUCGCCCUGCGCCCGCCGGUGCGGGUGGGCAUCGGGGGCCCGCGGCGCCUGCGCGGGGCGGGCAGGCCGGGACGGGGUGCGGGGGCGGUCGUGGGGUCACCGACGGGUAACGGCGGGAUUUCCUUCCCUGCGCACGCACAGAAAAGUCUCUGCGUUGGAGAGCAGCCCCUGCCCUUUCCAGGCCACCGUUCUCCCAAAAUCGCCGUGGAGCCAAGCCGGUCCCAAAGGCUCAGCGGGCUGCAGGGGUUCGCUCAGGCRUCUGCGUGCAGCCCGGGCAUUGCCAGCGCAAGCAGGAGGGAAGCAAACGACGCCAAUUGGGGGUCGCCGGGGCGGGUACGAAGGCGCAGUCCCCUUCUCAGCCUGGUCUCUCUCUGCCCUUCAUCCGCACGUCGCCGGGCAUCAGCCCUCCCCAGCCGCRCUGGCCUCUGUCGGAGAGAAAAGCAGCGUGUUAGCAAUCCGAUCUCCGGCUCGACCCCGGAGCGUGGCCCCGUUCCCCGUCCGAAACACCCGGAGCUGGAACAAGCCCGGCGGCUCGGUCGGCUCCCGCUUCCCAGGGAGUUUACGCCAGCGGGGAUCGGACACUGCGCACAAGGAAAGUACAGACGGGAGCCUGGAAAGUAGGGCAAGGGAUCAAGCAAUGUGCUUUUAAAAUAGACUGUAUGUGCCGAGCAGCCUCCCACCGCACGCAGCUCCCUCCCAGCAGCUCCAGCGCAGAAACCCGGCGCGGAGCCGGCGGGCGAAGCUGCAGGAGCGGAGAUUUCCUUUUUUUUCCCUCUUUUUCCGGAUGCAUUAAAAUACUGNNNNNNNNNNNNNNNNNNNNNNNNNNNNNNNNNNNNNNNNN